CACAGACUGUCAGCUCCUUGUGACCUUUUCAAAGCUAGAGUGUGGAAAUUGUAACACCAGCUGCAUCUUCCUGUAGCUUGGAAAAGAGGAGACUGAGAGGGGACCUCACCAAUGUUUAUAAAGGGUGACACGCUUGUGAUGUGAAGCAUUCGAGGUACUGUUGUACGGUGAAACUGGAGCGUCACACGGCCCCGCGCACCGUCCUUCGCUCAGCGCUGCGUCCUGGCCGGCUCCCGGGAGCGCCUUCGCCCAGGAGAGGGCAGUGGAGCCCGCACAGCCUCCCCGCUCCCCUUCGCCAACGGCGGGGGAGAGCCCGCCCGUCAGGUGGCACGGAACGAGGAAAGGGGCGAGCACGGAUUUAGUGCAUGUGCUAGAAUACGGGAAGAUCCAGGCAUUCAUCCUAAGACAACAAGCAGCCUUGGCUGAAAACUGCAGCAUGUGGUUUCAAGGUACUCUCCUGUCUAUCCUGGGCUCUGUGGUGACUGGCCAAGUAGUGAACCUGGACCAUCAGCAAAGGCAGUGACACAAAACCAGAGGAACUAAGAGCACCUUUCUCAACUGGUGUUGCUUGGAUAAAGGGCCUGGGAGACACAUGCCCCGUGACAGUGUUUGGGACCUAAGGCAGAAGUAAGUGCACAUGCCAGAGGGACACUGGAGCACAACACAAUUGUGUGGCAUAUGUUGUGAUGUGCUAAAAUCCAUAAAUAUUGGUAUCUGCAGAUAAAAAUGAAAGUGAGGAGUUUCCAGCCUUCCUGUGUGUUUUGGCUUGCUGGUUUGGAACAGGAGUGUGCUUUCAUAGCAUCUCUAAUAUGUGGGCAUGUCUUGCUGCUGCUUGGGAUGUCAGUGGGGACAUAUUUUCCCACAGACCACAGCAAAGGGGCCAUUCACACUACAGAUAAUAUGUGAGAGCUGCUCUCUUGAAGGCAGACACAAACAGCCAUGAGAUGAAAUAUUCCUAAGUAAUGAGAUUAGUGACAUGAAUGUAGCAUGGGAUACAGCUUUCAAAAAUAAUGAUAUCUGACACCCUCAUCAUCAAGAAUAUGUAGGGGCUGCAAGCUCUGAGCUUGGAAAAGUAUAUGAAAGAUUGGCUUCUCCUGGGAAGGGAGGCACAAGGGAGGUUAUUUUUAGUGCUUUGGAGGAAAAAAAGGAGGGGGGGGAGGCAAGCUAGAAUUUAAGCACUCUUUGGUUUGAUACCCUCACAAUGGAGAUUACA